UACGUAGGGCGCAAGCGUUAUCCGGAAUUAUUGGGCGUAAAGAGCUCGUAGGCGGUUUGUCGCGUCUGCUGUGAAAACCUCAGGCUCAACCUGGGGCUUGCAGUGGGUACGGGCAGACUAGAGUGCGGUAGGGGUGACUGGAAUUCCUGGUGUAGCGGUGGAAUGCGCAGAUAUCAGGAGGAACACCGAUGGCGAAGGCAGGUCACUGGGCCGCAACUGACGCUGAGGAGCGGAAAAGCCAUGGGGGAGCGAACAGG
rnacentral:rRNA from 1 species